rnacentral:rRNA from 1 species
UUUGGUGGCGAUAGCGAAGAGGUCACACCCGUUCCCAUGCCGAACACGGAAGUUAAGCUCUUCAGCGCCGAUGGUAGUCGGGGCUU